UUUUGAAUAGUGGCUAUCACAGAUAAUUUUGAAUUAUCUUUUUCUUCAAAAA
rnacentral:tRNA from 1 species